UUGCAGCACAACCACUACUGCCACAAAUAUAGCUUUUCUGUACAGAAGUAAACUAUUUAGUACUUUUUUCCGUCUCUGUUCUUUGAGUUGACCAUUGCAUUUAAUUUAUCUCAACAGACAAACAAAAUAAAUCAUGUAUCUAAUGGUAGUUUUUUCGUUAACCCUGAUUUACUCGGCUGCUUCCGCUCCCGAUGCGUCUUCUAUCGUUAGACCUUGCCUGCAGUGUAUGUGUGCUCAACCAGUGAGCGCCAUCUCAUCCGCUGCAUCAAAUGCCGUAUCCAUCAACCAAUGCGGCUGCAAUUGUGGUGGCAUAAAUCCUGUUCCUGUUCCGGCCCCUAAUCCUUGCCCUGGACCAAUCAUCCUUCCGGUGUCCGGCGUCCAACAGUCGGCGGGUGCAAACGCCCUGAUUCGACCUUGCCCCCUAACCGCAACUGCGUAGCGGCUGUUUAUAUAUAAAUUUUAACAGACGUUAAAUCUUUUGUUGUUUUUACAUGAAAGCUUUGUGUUUAAGAAUAAGCUAGCGAUGUGCGAUCCUUGAAUAAUCGUAGUGCUGUAAAAAAUUGUGCAACGAAGUGCUCAAUUGGCGGUACAUAGAUGUCGGUAAUAACUCGUUAUCGGAUAAAACUUCUAAUCA